rnacentral:lncRNA from 1 species
CCAUCUCCUGUCCCUUGUUGGCUACAGGUUUCCCUGAGGGCAUUAAACCUCUGGCACAGCCAGGCAGCCUUGUGUGUGGGCUGAGCAAGCUUCGCCAGUGCUUGGAAAAGUCUUCAGGUGGAAAGCAGAGAGAUGCCCACAGUCCCCAUGGAUGGGAACUGUCCACCACAGCUGCAGUGAUCUGUUCAGGGAAGGACACAUGAUUCAUUUGGGACCAAUGAGAGAGAGUGAAUUCCAGGGCUUGCUCUCUCGCUGAGUGAUGUGGUAUAAAGAUGUGAGGUCUGGAACAGCUGGAGCCAUUUUGCCACCAUGGGAAAGCCUGGAAUUUCUGGGCUGACUGCUUGAUGCACAAAGAGAAAGGCCUUAAGAAGGCAGAGAGGAGAGGGAGAGAAUCUAAGCCUUUGGAGACAGCUUUUGGAACUGCUGGAUUGAGUCUCACUUGAAGCCAGAAGUGAAUCUAGAUUUUUAAUCGACGUGCCUAAGAAAAAUUCCUUUAUCUUAUGAAUCAGUUUAAGACCAGAGAAUGGAGGCUCUGAAACGGUAAAUCUCUUACUGAAGGGCACACAGCCUGUGAGAGUGGAGCCAGGAUCCGUCCCAGGAAGAUUAGCCAUGAGCUAACAUCUGCUGCCAGUCCUCCUCAUUUUGCUGAGGAAGACUGGCCCUGAGCUAACAUCCAUGCCCAUCUUCCUCUACUUUAUAUGUGGGAUACCUACCACAGCAUGGCUUGUCAAGCGGUGCCAUGUCUGCACCCAGGAUCCGAACCGGCAAACCCUGGGCUGCCGAAGCGAACAUGUGCACUUAACUGCUGCAUCACUGGGCUGGCCCCUCAGUGCUGGAGAGGCCAGCACGCGACCGUGUCUGUGCUUCGAUCGACAGUCCCAGGCGAGCCCAGCCUUUCAGCCCUUCCUGCUAAGGUCCCAGACUCGUGAGUGAAGCUGUCUCGGGUCCUCCAGACAAGCCCAGCCACCAGCUGAGAACCACUGAGUGACUUCAGUUUAUGCCACAUGAAACAGAACCAAAGAAUCGCCAGCCAACCCUGCCCAAAUUCCUGACCCACAAAAGUGUAAGAUAGAAUAAAAUGGCUGUUUUAAAUCUCU